rnacentral:rRNA from 1 species
CCUACGGGAGGCAGCAGUGGGGAAUAUUGGGCAAUGGAGGAAACUCUGACCCAGCGACGCCGCGUGCGGGAUGAAGGCCUUCGGGUUGUAAACCGCUUUCAGUAGGGAAGAAGCGAAAGUGACGGUACCUACAAAAGAAGCACCGGCUAACUAUGUGCCAGCAGCCGCGGUAAUACAUAGGGUGCAAGCGUUGUCCGGAAUUAUUGGGCGUAAAGAGCUCGUAGGUCGUUUGUUACGUCGGAUGUGAAAACCUGAGGCUCAACCUCAGGCCUGCAUUCGA